UACAGAGGUCUCGAGCGUUAGGCGGAAUCACUGGGCUUAAAGCGUGUGUAGGCGGCGGGCUAAGUACCUUGUGAAAUCCCACGGCUUAACUGUGGAACUGCUGGGUAUACUGGUUCGCUUGAGCGGUCUAGGGGCGAGCGGAACAAAUGGUGGAGCGGUGAAAUGCGUAGAUAUCAUUUGGAACGCCAACGGUGAAAACAGCUCGCUGGGGACCUGCUGACGCUGGAGACACGAAAGCCAGGGGAGCGAACGGGA
rnacentral:rRNA from 1 species